UACGUAGGGUGCGAGCGUUAAUCGGAAUUACUGGGCGUAAAGCGUGCGCAGGCGGCGCGUUAAGACAGGUGUGAAAGCCCCGAGCUUAACUUGGGAAUUGCGCUUGUGACUGGCGUGCUGGAGUGUGGCAGAGGGAGGUGGAAUUCCACGUGUAGCAGUGAAAUGCGUAGAGAUGUGGAGGAACACCGAUGGCGAAGGCAGCCCCUCGUCGGCAAGCACUGACGCUCAUGCACGAAAGCGUGGGGAGCAAACAGG
rnacentral:rRNA from 1 species